ACAACAGCCAAAAUACUCGACUAGUGGAUUUUAUGAUUAGGAGCAGGCAGUAGAGUAUGUGUUUUCGCUCAUCAAGUAGCAGUAUAUAAAUGAGUGGUUGAACAUUGUUACAGAAUUAUUGUAAUAAUUACAGUCCAACCACACAGUAGUGAUCACAGUUUUUUCUUCGAUAAGUUCGUCAACUUAAUAUUCAAACUUUUUUUCUUAAUUUCAGCAGAAGAAAUGGCAGCAUACAAACUCACUUACUUCAAUUUUCCUGCCCUGGCAGAGCCUAUCAGGUUUCUCUUGUCUUAUUUGAAAAUCGAAUUUGAAGAUGUUCGGUUUGAACGUGAAGAAUGGCCAUCAAUCAAGCCCAAAAUGCCAUAUCGUCAAGUACCAACUUUAGAAAUCGAUGGUAAAAUAUUGAACCAAACAUCAGCCAUAUGCCGUUAUUUAUCGAAAAAAGCUGGAUUAGCCGGUAGCGAUGAUUGGGAAUCUUUACUUAUCGAUAUUGCUGUCGACAACUUUGCAGACUUCCGACUAUCUAUCGCAUCGGCAGCGUUUGAUCCAAAUGAAGAAUCUAAAGCUAAAAAAUUUGAAACUUUGAUAAACGAAACUGUUCCAUUUUAUAUGAACAAAUUUGAAAAUAUUGUUGGUGAAAACAAUGGAUACUUUGUAAACGGAAAGUUGUCUUGGGCUGAUUUAUAUUUUGUCGCAGUAGUCGAUUUUUUCGGCUAUUUGGCAAAAGUGAACCUAUUAGAGGGUCGUCCAAAAUUACAAGAGCUUAAAAAAAAUGUAUCGGAAAUACCUGAAAUUAAAUCAUGGAUCGCCAAAAGACCUGUAUUCAAAUAUGAAGCCUAAAACUAAUUUUUUGUUUACUGCAAGUUUCAACAAGACCUCUUUAAGAUUGAUUUUACCCAAGUUAUGAAAGAUGCAAACUGGUACCUACUAAAAACUAUAAUAUUAUAAUAAGCCUUUUUUAAUACAAUUUAUGUUUUUAAAAUAGUUUAUCAUUAAUAUGUAUUUUAUUUUAUUGUUCUCGUAUGAUUCAGGUGAUUGAUCACUAUAAUAGACAUAUAAAAAUUAAUUCAGCUCAUUUAAUACAUAAUUGUUGUAGGUAUUGACUGUAAUAGUGUAAGUCAAACCGGAAUAAUAACGAUUGUUAUAUUAUUGUGUCAAAUAAGAAUAUUUAUAUUAAACUGUGUUUAUCAUACAUUAUACAAUAGUAA